CUCGUAGGCGGUUCGGUAAGUCGGGUGUGGAACCUCCAGGCUCAACCUGGAGAGGCCACCUGAUACUGCUGUGACUCGAGUCCGGUAGGGGAGCGUGGAAUUCCUGGUGUAGCGGUGAAAUGCGCAGAUAUCAGGAGGAGCACCAGCGGCGAAGGCGGCGCUCUGGGCCGGAACUGACGCUGAGGAGCGAAAGCGUGGGUAGCAAACA
rnacentral:rRNA from 1 species